rnacentral:lncRNA from 7 species
CGGUGGCACACCCAUCGCCGCCUUUCUUUAGUGCCACUGAGUGGCCGGUGUCUCUCUCUCUCUCUCGUUCUUGCUUCCUGCUGUCGUCGAACACCGACAUCCGACUCCGAAGCCGCCAGCCCAUUGCACCGCGCCCCCGCCCCCUCUUCUGCUUGUGUUGAUCGCUCCGCCACUGCCUAAGAGGGCAGGAGGCCACCCCGGACGCUGCAGGGUGCAGGUGCAGCCUUGCCCUCAUGUGGUGUUGGAUUGUUGGACGAUGGAUCCUUGGUGCCUAGGUGCAGUGCAUACAAAAUACGGGAGCUAUUUUGUGUGUGGUCUUAUGAAUCAAUGACACUAUUUGCAUUUUACGUACUUCGCUGUUCUUUUGAAUCAAUGACACUGGUUGAAUGAUUGCAUCUUGUGUACAUGAUACAUACACUAGUCCUGUAUGGCGUGGUUGUAUCAACUAUAGAUUAUCAACUAUGUUUGUUUCCCUCUUAUGAUUUUGUUAUGUAGUGUGGUGCCAUUUGGUUAGUGAUUGUUGU